GCAUUGGUGAUUCAGUGGUAUAAUCCUUGCCUUGCAUGUGGGCGACUCAGGUUCAAUUCCUGACCAGUGCA
rnacentral:tRNA from 1 species